ensembl:scaRNA
CAGACAUUUAUUUUUAUCCAGUUUCUUAUCAACAUGAAGAUAACUCUUUGUAAAUGUCCUAAAGUAAAGUCUUCCUCCUCCCCUUCAAGACCCUG